UACGUAGGGUGCAAGCGUUGUCCGGAAUUAUUGGGCGUAAAGAGCUCGUAGGCGGUUCGUCGCGUCGGCUGUGAAAACCCGGAGCUCAACUCCGGGCCUGCAGUCGAUACGGGCGGACUCGAGUUCGGCAGGGGAGACUGGAAUUCCUGAUGUAGCGGUGAAAUGCGCAGAUAUCAGGAGGAACACCGGUGGCGAAGGCGGGUCUCUGGGCCGAUACUGACGCUGAGGAGCGAAAGCGUGGGGAGCGAACAGG
rnacentral:rRNA from 1 species